rnacentral:rRNA from 1 species
AGUGAACGCUGGCGGUAGGCCUAACACAUGCAAGUCGAACGGCAGCACAGUAAGAGCUUGCUCUUACGGGUGGCGAGUGGCGGACGGGUGAGGAAUACAUCGGAAUCUACUUUUUCGUGGGGGAUAACGUAGGGAAACUUACGCUAAUACCGCAUACGACCUACGGGUGAAAGCAGGGGAUCUUCGGACCUUGCGCGAUUGAAUGAGCCGAUGCCGGAUUAGCUAGUUGGCGGGGUAAAGGCCCACCAAGGCGACGAUCCGUAGCUGGUCUGAGAGGAUGAUCAGCCACACUGGAACUGAGACACGGUCCAGACUCCUACGGAAGGCAGCAGUGGGGAAUAUUGGACAAUGGGCGCAAGCCUGAUCCAGCCAUACCGCGUGGGUGAAGAAGGCCUUCGGGUUGUAAAGCCCUUUUGUUGGGAAAGAAAGGCAGCAGGUUAAUACCCCGCUGUUCUGACGGUACCCAAAGAAUAAGCACCGGCUAACUUCGU